GGAGCGGUAGUUCAGUUGGUUAGAAUACCGGCCUGUCACGCCGGGGGUCGCGGGUUCGAGCCCGUCCGCUCCGCCA
rnacentral:tRNA from 1 species